GCUGGAUUUCCCCUUCCUCAUCUCUCACACAGUACCUUCCUUUUUCUCUUCCUGUCUCGUGUUUUUCCCUGCCCUUCAGAUCUACACUUUGAGGAUGGGUGUAACCAACAUAUAAUGAUCUGAGAUCAGAGCUCAAACUAGUUUCACUUCUCAGGAAAUAAAACUCAGUCAGUAGUCGACAGCAAGUGUUGAAAUGGCGCAGAGAGGAGUUCUUCUAGACCGUGAGUCUUUCUCUUGUUCCAUCUGUUUGGAUCUACUGAAGGAUCCUGUGACUGUUUCCUGUGGACACAGCUUCUGCAUGAGCUGUAUUGAUUUAAAAAAUUGUAACAGUAUAGAAUGAUAAAAAUGUCAUAGUAUAGUAUAAGAAAAUCAUAGUAAAUUAUGAUAAAAAACCUUAAUAGUUUGUAUUAUCAAAAUGUCAUUGUAUAGUGUGAUAAAAAAGUGAUAGUAUAAUAUGAUAUAGUAUAAUAUGACAUAACAAUCAUAGUAUUGUAUGUUAAAAAAUUAUAUUUAAGUUUGAAAAAACCUCACAGAAUAGUAUGAAAAAACUUUCAUAUUAUAGCCUUAUGUGAUUAAAAAUGUCAUAGUAAUGUAUGAUAAGAAUGUCAGUAUAGUAUGAAAUGAAGACCGUGGUUAAAUAUGUUAAAAAAUCAUAGUAAAGUAUUAUAAAAUCAUAGUUGAGUAUAAUACUAAAAAAGUAUAGUAUGAUAAAAUAUGUAUUAAAAAAUCAUGGUUAAGUAUGAUACAAAAAAGGAUAGAAUAUGUCAAAGCAUAGUGUGAUAAAAAAACAAAGUAAAUGUGAUAAAAUAAUAACAAAAUAAUGUUUAAAACAUUUAUAGUAAAGUAUGUUUAAGAUGUCAGUAAAGUGUGAUAAAAAUGUCGUAGUGUAGUCUGAUAAAAAAUAUGGGAAAGUAUGAUAAAAAAUAAAUUGUAACAGUAUAGAAUGACAAAUAUGUCAUGGUAUAGUAUGAUAAAAAUUUGUUUGAAAAUAUUUAAAAAAAUCAUUAUAGUAUGAUAAAAAUGUCAUAGUAUGGUGUGAUAAAAAAUCAUGGGAAAGUAUGAUAAAACAAAUAUCAUAGCAUAGUAUGAUAAAAAUGCCAUUGUAUAGUAUGAUUUAAAAGUAAAAGUAUAAUAUGAACAAACAAUCAUAGUAUCGUAUGUUAAAAAAUAUAUAUAUUUAAGUAUGAAAAAUAUAUCAUAGUAUGGUAUGAAAAACAAUCAUAUUAUUAUUGCCUAAUACGAUUAAAUAUUUUCAUAGAAGUAGUAACUGUGUAUAAUCUCCUUGUUUUGAAUUACAUUUUUGAAAAAGCUCUCCUGAAUCCUCUAUCUGUCCUCUAAUUUCCUUCCUCUUUCCUCUAACUCAACAGAUCUGUAAGAACUCCCAGUUGGGCCGAGGACAGAGGAGACUGCAGUUAAAAGCUUUGAG